CAGUAGCCACGGUAAUACGUAGGUGGCAAGCGUUGUCCGGAAUUAUUGGGCGUAAAGGGCUCGCAGGCGGUUUCUUAAGUCCGAUGUGAAAGCCCCCAGCUCAACCGGGGAGGGUCAUUGGAAACUGGGAAACUUGAGUGCAGAAGAGGAGAGUGGAAUUCCACGUGUAGCGGUGAAAUGCGUAGAGAUGUGGAGGAACACCAGUGGCGAAGGCGACUCUCUGGUCUGUAACUGACGCUGAGGAGCGAAAGCGUGGGGAGCGAACAGGAUUAGAGACCCGUGUAGUCCCUGUCUAUUAUAA
rnacentral:rRNA from 1 species